CGCAGUAUGAUCGAACUUGUGAGUGGAC
rnacentral:piRNA from 1 species